UAAGGAGCUCAUAAUCCCUGUGAAUACAACUUCCAUCUUCUAAUUAAAGCAGCUGAAGCCCACGAAAGGACAUAUCCCGCCCAAGGUCAGAGAGAGCCGAUCAGUGACGCUGGCUGGAAUAAAACCCAUGUCUCCGGACUCCCACGCGUGCGGGUGAAGGCCUAGCAGAGGACAAAAAGGGAUCCACAAUAGGAUCGGGCUUGAAGUCCAGCUCGGUGCGGCUCGGGUCGCAAGACAAAGGUCACCCCUCCCUCCCGAAGGUCGCCAGCGCCACACCCGGCCACUCCCACCAGCCGCCCCGUUACCGGUAGCCAGCGCAGACCCUUCCUGAUGCGGCAACCCGCCAGCCCAGCGCGCCCAGGUCACGCCGCCGGAAGCCGCCUGGACUGCCCCGGAAACGGAAGUCAGGGGGCGCCGUCCCAGAAGCUCUGAGCUAGGGACUGGCCCUGGCGAUAGUCGUGGAGAGAGCAAUACGCGCCUGAAGGUCUGUGCGCGCUGACGCCGGGCAGGCUCGUAACAUUACGGAAUCCCUGUUGAAGUGCAAGCUGGACUGGCGGAAAUCAGAUUUCCCGUAUCUUCUCAAAGGCUGUUUGUCAAGACUGCCACCUGGAGAAUUUCAUCUGUCUUCUAAGAUCUGGUACAUUUUCUGUAUCUCUAUUACAGCACAUAAUUAUAGUGUAUUAUAUAUUUAAGAAGUUUUUAUCUUUAUUAAAAAUGUUUUUAUUUUCAAGUAAUCUCUACAUCCAAUGUAGGGUUCAAACUCACAGCUCCAAGAUCAAGAGUUGCAUGCUGUACCAACUGAGCCAGCUAGGCACCCUUAAAUGUUAAGAUUUUUUUUUUCUUUAAGUGGGCUUCACGCCCACCAUGGGGCUUGAACUCACAACCCUGAGAUCAAGAGUAGCAUGUUCUACUGACUGAGCUAGCCAGGCACCCCCUUUAUUGUAUUUUUGAUGUAUCCCUCUACUCCCUCAGAUGCUGGGUGCUUUCAUUUUAGGGGUUAUAGAUUUCCUUUUUAUUUCCACAGGACCUGGACCAAAGUGGAUGCUGAAUCAGUGAUGAUCAAAUGGAAAUGAAAUUGAAUUGCAGAGUUGCAAGAUACAUUCAGUCAUAGUCUAGUUUGACUCCUAUAAUAAUCAUCCUGCAAAAGCAAGUUUUGUUAUAUCAUUUACCCAUAUUAAAAAUAAAGAAACAGGGGUGCCUGGGUGACUCA
rnacentral:lncRNA from 1 species